AUAAAAAGGCAUGAAAAAGAGUAAUGAAUAGAACCAAACGCUCUGUAAAACUGAUUCCUUUACCUAUCCGCCAAUGAGACACAAGGCUGACGACCAGUUCGGGGUGUGCCCCGCCUCUUUCCCGGAAUAGGAUCCAGCGCACCUUUGACCCUUCGUGAGGAUUGGCGGUACGGAAAAUGGAUGGAUCCAAAAUAACAGAAACACCCUAUCCACAGAUUCAUCUAGUAACCCCAAACCCCUCAGAGGCCUUUGUGAAUGGCCACUGGAGAGAGAGUGGUCCCAGCAGGGCACGAUGCUAAAAUCCAGGAACAUACUAGUGGAGAGCCUGAGAAGAUAGCCUGCCUGCUCUCCCAAUCAGCAAACACACUUGAGGCGGUCUAAAGAUAGAAACAACCAUAACACGGGUCUCAGUCGGUAUCUCCGGGGCGGUGUUGCUGCGGUUGGAGCCAAAAUACAAACGAAGACGUGCCAUUUUUACUUCCCGUCCGACAGCCUCAGUUCCCUCUAAAGACUCCCCGCGCCCGCUACGUCCCACCCACCUCGAGUCCCUUCCACAACUUUCCUUCCACAAGUAAACACUACAGGGGGAAAAAAAAACAAAAAACGGCACACCACAAAAGCAAGGGCCGCAAACCACACCACAUAUGAAGGAAUGAUGGGGGGAAAAAAACAAAAACUAAAGAAGGGUCUGUGUUCACCAGGUUUUUAGAGCUACGAAGCAAUAGCGACAGACAGCAGAAAUAGCCUGAGCCUAGUGACAGCAAGCAUUCCUGACAUGAUUGGAUAAGGGCAGCCAGCGCUUCUGGUUUCCAGGGUGACAGCGGGGUUGCCUGUCGGUCACGUGACUACAAAUGAUCCCCCCCAUCAACAUGUACCAUUACGAUGCAAUGCUACCCCCAAGUGCCAGGUGGGUAGAGACUUACCCGAAAAGUGACACCUUAACCUGCUCAAACGAUGAUCAUUCUUUUUCUGGACGGCCCACUAUCACCAUUAAAAUGAUAAAUACAUCAACAACAAAAGUAUUACAGCCUUUGAUUUGUUCUGGCA